UACGUCACAGUCAGAUAUUCGUUGUUCAAUCGUAAUUCCAACAAUGAUUCCUAAUCUUUCAGUUUUAAUGAAAUAUAAUGUUCUAUGAAUAGUUGAAAGUUCAAUAGAACGCAAAAUCGUGGCGUAUUGAAACUCUGAAGACGAGACGCGUGCGAGUGCGCAUGCGUAGGAUCGUCCAGCCACCGCCGCCUCCCGGCCAAGAUUUUUAUUUUAUUUUUUUUGCCUUCCGGCCAUGAUGGCGGGCCUUUCAAAUCGAGGUGUGACGUCGGAGCACGUUCGACGGGAACGUUAGAAGAAACGUUGAGAGCGCAACAGCGGCUCGUCGCCGAGCGGACGCGGGAGCGCUAGCAGGUUGAUCGUGUCCGCGGCCAUGAAGGGACGGAUUUCCUGGACGGCGAUUCGGAUGCCUUUUUCUCGCGCGAGCCGUCGCGGGACGACCCGGCCGACGACGAGAUGUUGCGCCGGCUCUGCGAGGGCCCGUAGAGCGGCGUCGACCGCAAAGCGCCCGAUCGCUCAGCGACCUCCUCCGUUCCGGAUUCCUAUCAGCGGCGGCGGGGGGCCCGUUUCCACGGCGACCAACAAGUCUCUUUCCGUGUCGACAAAUGGUACCGUUCCCGCGGUGACCGGCGAGACGGUUUCUUCGGUGACCAAGAGGGCUGUGGACUUCUGUCCCGUUUCCAUGGUGAUGCAUCAUCCCGUUUCCAUGGUGACGAGCAAAGCCAAAUGCUCGGCGCAGGAGAUCGAGCUGAAGAAGCAGCGGGCCGUGGAGCGCCGCCGCCGCCUGCUGGGAGGGGGUCCGCAUCCUCAAAUGAGAAGUGCCAGCCUACUUUGACGGGGGGGGGGGGCCUCAUCGUGAACAUUUCCACGCGCUGCCUGGAAAUGUCCUGCCAACCGCCAACAUGGGGUGGAAAAUCAGCAUUGCUAAUUUGUUGGCAAUAAACUUGUGGCAUCAGUCAA